GACAGAGGGUGCAAACGUUGUUCGGAAUUACUGGGCGUAAAGCGCGUGUAGGCGGCCCUGCAAGUCGGGUGUGAAAUCCCACGGCUCAACCGUGGAAGUGCACUCGAAACUGCAGGGCUAGAGUCCUGGAGAGGAAGGUGGAAUGCUUGGUGUAGAGGUGAAAUUCGUAGAUAUCAAGCGGAACACCGGUGGCGAAGGCGGCCUUCUGGACAGUGACUGACGCUGAGACGCGAAAGCGUGGGGAG
rnacentral:rRNA from 1 species